rfam:Asian citrus Psyllid, Diaphorina citri - Florida Strain, whole genome shotgun sequence.
GCUCCCAUGGCGUAGUGGUCACUGCGCUCGCCUUGCACGCGGGAGACCCGGGUUCGAUUCCCGGCGGAG